rnacentral:SRP_RNA from 1 species
UCAUUAACAUUCAAUAGUUAUUUGUGAAUUUGGUCAGGACUUGAUUGAAGCAGCCAUAAGCGUAAUGAUUAUGUGAGUGUUAAUGAAAU